GGGGUGCUCGAGUGGCGAACGGGUGAGUAACACGUGAGUAACCUGCCCUUGACUUUGGGAUAACUUCAGGAAACUGGGGCUAAUACCGGAUAGGAGCUCCUGCUGCAUGGUGGGGGUUGGAAAGUUUCGGCGGUUGGGGAUGGACUCGCGGCUUAUCAGCUUGUUGGUGGGGUAGCGGCUUACCAAGGCUUUGACGGGUAGCCGGCCUGAGAGGGUGACCGGCCACAUUGGGACUGAGAUACGGCCCAG
rnacentral:rRNA from 1 species